CACGGUUUAUCUCUAACCUCCAGCCAAAAGUCCACGCACGACACGGAAACAAACUGGAAACAAGUUCCACACAAAUCUCACCAAAGCUGUCGAUUUUGCCACGGAUUUUUGCGCCUAUACAUACCCCAUUAUCCCCUCUGUAUAUUGAUCCUAAAAUCCAAAUUUUUGCGCCACCAGGCUGCGCGAAUUUCUCGCCGGAGUUCCAAGCCGCCGCCGCCAUUGGAGCGAGUGCAUCGGAGCCAACACACGAAGUCGUCGGAGUUUCACCGGACUUAACCGUCUCCAACCGAGAAUAGCAGCCUCUGAGGACGACUCCGAAGGACGUUUACGCGACAUCAUGAAAGAGAGAAGAACACAUCAAGCUUUUCGCCAAACCAGAGGAUCGCUAGCACGUCCGCGGCGUCCGCGUCGAUCAUCACCAGCAGGAUUGUCCGAAUUGCAACGAGUGUGAUUGCGACGACUGUCUGAACACCGGCCAAGG